UUCAAAUUGUAAUGUUUCUGAGUGAAAACUGUUUCUUUGCAUUUAUUUCCAGACCGUUUUGAACAGACAAUGUGUUGAAAUACAUCAUCUGGGUCGUUUGGUUUGUGACAUGUUUAGGGUUUAGAUGUAACGAAUAAUGUUUCUUCAGGAAGUGAUGAACACUCCCUGUUUCUGGAGGAGAGCUCACAUCAUCUGAUCAUCUCUGAGAGGAAGAGGAGGAGGAAGAAGAAGAGGAGGAGGAGAUAAUAUCUGAGAGGAGGAGGAGGAGGAGAAAGAGGAGAGGCUGCUGCCUGCGAGCAUCGAUGACAUCAACGAGCUCGAGAAUCUCCGGAGGCUUGUGGAAAUCUUGUGGAAAUGGAGGAUUCUGCCUGAGAACGGAACACGAUGCUCUUCACCUUCGCGCAGGAAUACAGGAUCAGACCACUGAGGAUUAUGAAAACCAGGUCAUGAAGCUCAAACACAUCUAGAAAAAAGAGAAACGAGUGCGUGCGUCUGGAUGUCAGUCGUGGAGUCGAGGGUCAUGGCUGUCUGGGGCAGAGUUCCUCUCCGCUCCCUGCUGCUGUUCUUCUUCAUCUUCCUGCAGAACUCCUGUGACUCUUUAUGUAGGUCUCCAUGUGCUCUAACAGGCUGUUGUUGGUAUGGUAACAAUGCAUGUCCUUUAUGAUGGGAUGUCAUCAUGGAAACUAAGCAGAGGCUGAUGAUAUUUUACUGUAAUGAAUUAUUAAAACAGAAAUAUUUGUGUCUGCUGGACACUGGAAUGAAAGUGAAUUCUCUCUCUUACAAAAAAUAAUUCUAGAAUAAAGAAAGCGCAGCUGUACUACAAUCAGUGUGACUGAGGAGGCCAUUUUAUAUCAUGUCACCAAAGAUUCAUUAAAAUGUUUUACAUGGAUUUAUGAGUUCAGCACAGAUUUGAGAAUUUUUUAUUGUUUGGAAAUGCAGUUAUAUUGAUCGCAUUGAUUCAGACGUCACUUAAAAGUAGAGGUGUAACGGUACACAGAAGUCAUGGUUCUAUACGUAUGUGUGUGUUCAUGCGUGUUUGUCUGUAUUCAUGCGUGUUCAUGU